AAGUCGUAACAAGGUUUCCGUAGGUGAACCUGCGGAAGGAUCAUUAUUGAAUUUAAACAAAGGGUAUUUAGGUUGUAGCUGGCUCCAUUAGUUUGGAGCAUGUGCACACCUUUUGCUCUUUUUUUAAUCCACACACACCUGUGAACCUGUGAGGCAGAGACAUGGAUGGGAGAACUUUUAUUUACUUUAAAAUGAAUGAUUGGGACCCCUACCCCCCCUCUGUCUACUCAACUCUAAUAUAAACCCAAUUUAUUUUAAAAUGAAUGUAAUGGAUGUAACGCAUCUAAUACUAAGUUUCAACAACGGAUCUCUUGGCUCUC
rnacentral:misc_RNA from 1 species